rnacentral:lncRNA from 1 species
UUUCACAAUGUAGGUGAGUAGACAUAAGGCGCGAUAGCAUGCCAGUUUGAAUUUUCAAUUAUUUCUUUAAACAUUGUUAUCUCGCUCAAAGACUGGUGUGUGUACAAAAUAAGUGGCUUUGUUCUAUUGAAGAUCGUUUAUUCUCACAGCGAUUGUUCUGAUUAAUUAUUAGCCAUCAUUAUCAUUAUGUGCGGAUUAAAGAUAUUUAAAGGGUCCGAAAAGGCUUCGUAUGGGUUGAAUGGAGGUAAAGGUAGCCAAAUAGAUGUAGCUGGCCUAGAGCAAGAUACAAAAAUUUCAUCAUUCAACGAAAACUACAAAAAAAUAAAAUCAAAUUGAUCUGUUGGCAUUAAUAUUGUAAAUACAAAGCUUUGUGAUUUUUUUAUACUUUUAUGUAACAAUAUUUUUAUUUAUUUUAAGAUGAUGUUAUUAUAUUUUAAGAUGCUUCUUUAUUAAACUUUAAGAACUGC